GGCAACAUUCCACGUUGUCCGUGCCGCAGCUAACGCAUUAAGUGCCCCGCCUGGGGAGUACGGCCGCAAGGCUAAAACUCAAAGGAAUUGACGGGGGCCCGCACAAGCGGCGGAGCAUGUGGCUUAAUUCGACGCAACGCGAAGAACCUUACCAAGGCUUGACAUACACCGGAAAACCCUGGAGACAGGGUCCCCCUUGUGGUCGGUGUACAGGUGGUGCAUGGCUGUCGUCAGCUCGUGUCGUGAGGUGUUGGGUUAAGUCCCGCAACGAGCGCAACCCUUGUCC
rnacentral:ncRNA from 1 species